AUUGAACGCUGGCGGCAGGCCUAACACAUGCAAGUCGAGCGAGCGGCGGACGGGUGAGUAAUGUAUGGGGAUCUGCCCGAUAGAGGGGGAUAACUCCUCGAAAGAGUGGCUAAUACCGCAUACUCUUGGAGCGGCCGAUAUCGGAUUAGCUAGUUGGGGGGGUAAAGGCUCACCAAGGCAACGAUACGUAGAUGGUUUGAGAGGACGACCAGCCAAAAUGGGACUGGGACACGGCCCAGACUCCUACGGGAGGCAGCAGUGGGGAAUUUUGGACAAUGUGGGAAACCCUGAUCCAGCCAUCCCGCGUGUAUGAGAAGGCCUUCGGGUUGUAAAGUACUUUUGGCAGAGAAGCGGUAUCUGCAGAAUAAGCACCGGCUAACUACGUGCCAGCAGCCGCGGUAAUAC
rnacentral:rRNA from 1 species